AGGACGAACGCUGGCGGCGUGCUUAACACAUGCAAGUCGAGCGAGGCCCCUCCUUCGGGAGGGUGUCCUAGCGGCGAACGGGUGAGUAACACGUGGGCAACCUGCCCUCAGCUCUGGGAUAACCCCGGGAAACCGGGCUAAUACCGGAUACGACCUCCACGGGCAUCUGCGGAGGUGGAAAGGUUUUCCGGCUGAGGAUGGGCCCGCGGCCUAUCAGCUAGUUGGUGGGGUGAUGGCCCACCAAGGCGACGACGGGUA
rnacentral:rRNA from 1 species